CCCAAAACAACAAACAAAAUACAAAAUACAAACAAACCCAAACAAACAAACAUAAAAACCAAACACUCCCCACCCCCCCAAAAAAAAGACAGUGAGUGAAAGGGGCAAAGAAAAAGUACUCAUCUUUCCCAAAUAUGAAACAAUGACAAAGUAAAAAUCAUUACUGGUGAUAGCUUCCAUUUCUAAGAUUCAAAAGCAAUAUUGUGACAAGCAGCCUGUCGUAAACUUUAUCUUUUGUGAACUCCAGAAAAUCAUUAACUCUUAAUAAAUCAUUUAAUAGAUUAAAACUUUUUAAAGUUUUGUACAACGCAACUGCAAAUUAUUCUGACGGAUAUGGCCAUCAAGCUUUCCUAAAAAAACACACCUUGGUAUUCCCAAAGCACAAGUUGAAAUAGGCCCUCAUUACUUUGUCAAACACGCUGCUUUCAACUGUGUGACAGAACAAGUUGGUUAUGGUUGUUUAACCAAUUUGCUUUCAUCAUCAUUGUAUAUGGUCCACAACUUAAAGAGGGCUCUUUUAUCCUCAGUUUAUGCAAGAAUUGUAAAAUAAAACCACGCAAAGCCAAGAGGGCUCUUCCAGGUGAAAGAGACUUUAGCAUAUUUGCCCUAUAUUCCUACCAACUCCUUGGAAAAAAGCACAAGUGAAAGCAAGAAAAAUAGCAUAAGGGAAAAGGCUUAUAAACCCUGAAAGUUAAGAGGUCCUCUUAAUAAUAACAACAUAACACACAUUAUCACACAUCAGAAGACUGUUGGCACGGCACAUCAAAUAUUCAAGUCAAAACUAGAAGCUACUCACGUAUAACAAUCACAAUGUUGACUGUAAGCAAUUUCUUCAAGGCUUACAUCAAUAUCUAGUGGAGGCCGGGUGCCAUCCUAAAGGAGUUGAGAUAAUAAAAAGAGAAAGAUAAGAAAAGUUGUUUUUUUGUAGUUUUUUUUUGUUUGUUUGUUUGUGGGGUUUUUUGUUUAAGUUUCACCAAUCAGGAAUCAUAUAGGGGUCUGACAAAUUCCCUGAAAUAUCCACAAAUAUUAACAUUUUUAAUCUCAAACCAGCAAGAAGGACAACCAGCCUUAAAAACAUUUAAUUAUGAAAUAAUAAGUAAUGCUAAAUUUUAACUUCCCAUCAACAGAUUAGAUUUUCUCUAACAAAAUGAUGGCCAGCCUGUCACAGGGCAAUGUAACACUGACACUGUUCCAUAUGUGGACAGGCCUUAAGUAGCUGGUUACAUCAACAGCAUUGUUUAGCUGAACUUCCUCUAGUUUUACUAUGUGUUGAAAUCAAAUAGCUAAGCAAUAAGCAUGUAGAUUUAGUCUUAUCUCACUUUUAAGACUGAAUUAAUUACAUAUCUUUUAUGUUCUAGACAUACAUUUUCAAACUUAGUAGUUUUCCAUUCUGGAUUUCAUAAAAGUUUACAUAUACUGUAGAUACUCCUGUAGACUUUUGACACUACUCUUCCAUAUUAUUACUGCUUCCUCCACAAAGAUCCCAGAAGUGGUUUCUUUUGUUAUUAUUCUUGCAUCUCCGACAGCAAAAAAUAUUGAACACUAUAAAUUAUAUUUGAAACUAGCCCACAAAAUUUUCAAACACUGUAAGCAUGGAGAUCUCCCUAUUACCCUUAGACAACAGUAAAGUAGUAUCUUGGUAGUACAGAGAUUCUAGAUGUCUACAGUAUCAAACAAUAUCUGAGUUUAGAAAUGAAAGGGCAUUUUUUUGGUACAAUUGAUGUAUUUCUGCUAGAAACUCAUUUGACAGAAAAGUACAAAUUCUUAUAAUUCUUUUCUGACUUCUUCAGGUGAACUAACAUACCACAUAUCUACAAUACCUUCAAGAGAAAAAAAUAAAAUGUAUAGUAACUGGCAAGUUAAAACCCUUGAAUACUUAACAGACAGUAGAAUAAUCAAGGACUAGGCAGAGUAAGGGAGCAAUCUUGGAUGAAUCUUUGGUAGAAUACCAGUUAGAAAGGGGAAAAAAAAACCCACCCCAAACCAACCAACCAAAACCAAAAACCAACAGAAAGACAAAGGAACAGCCUGAUUUUGAAACAUCUUGAAAGCAGAGACUUCAACCUGGAAACAAGGAAGCCUCAUACAAUUUCAUAUGGGAUUUUAGUAAUUGUUGUACAAGACUGCAAGCCAGAGAGACACCUCCUCUGCUAAAAAUAAAUGUUUUACCUAUUGCUUUGAGUAGCAACAUAUGUUGGCCAUUUUUUGAGUGGGAUGAUCUGCCUACUCUGGAGACAAGCUCAGCAGUAUGUGCACCAGAGAAGCUUGAUACAGCUUGCAGGAAUGUAAGUACACUAGUAACUUGAACAUGUGAAGACAUGCUUCUCUUACAUAAUUAAUAUGCAAUUUGAAAAUGACUGAUUUGUACAAGUUAACUGAAAUAAAACUCUUUCACAACAAGCCUUCAACCUA